GUGGGGAAUUUUGGACAAUGGGCGCAAGCCUGAUCCAGCAAUGCCGCGUGCAGGAAGAAGGCCUUCGGGUUGUAAACUGCUUUUGUACGGAACGAAACGGUCCUGGCUAAUACCCGGGGCUAAUGACGGUACCGUAAGAAUAAGCACCGGCUAACUACGUGCCAGCAGCCGCGGUAAUACGCAGGGUGCGAGCGUUAAUCGGAAUUACUGGGCGUAAAGCGUGCGCAGGCGGUGCUGUAAGACAGGCGUGAAAUCCCCGGGCUCAACCUGGGAAUUGCGCUUGUGACUGCAGUGCUGGAGUGCGGCAGAGGGGGAUGGAAUUCCGCGUGUAGCAGUGAAAUGCGUAGAUAUGCGGAGGAACACCGAUGGCGAAGGCAAUCCCCUGGGCCUGCACUGACGCUCAGGCACGAAAGCGUGGGGAGCAAACAGGAUUAGAUACCCUAGUAGUCC
rnacentral:rRNA from 1 species